rnacentral:sRNA from 1 species
GCUUUCAACAACCCCGUCCACGGCAUGCGAAACAACGCGGCCGUCAGGACUGAAGGC